GCUCAUCGUCGGGAAGGCCUGGCUGGCGGGUGACCGGGCCCGAUGUUUUUCGCUCUUUCGGUUCUUCGGGACAGUCCUUUUAGCCCACUAAAUAGCGUACAUUGGUGGGCACUCAUGCCACAAUCCCUGCAGUAAAGGGAAUUCAGCGAUUUAAGGUCUGAAGAAGACCGGUUAUGCCAGUGAAGAAAAAAGGAAAAAAAUAAAUGGGUAAAGCCUUUGGUCUCGCACAGUCCUCUUGCCGUUUUUGGAUGUAAACUGUGCACCUUGAGUGCUUUUUACUUACGGUUGACAGUCUUGUUAGAGCUUAUAUAAUAUUAUUUUUUAUUAUUACUCAUAAUAAUAAUAGUAAUUUUUUCGUUAUAACCUCUUUUCUCUUCAUUUAUCUUAUUUAUCUACGUUUUAUCUGUUUUAAAAAUGAGUCCCACCACUGAAGAAGAGCUGCGAACCUUGGAUUGCUAACUUAUUAGCUGUUAACGAAGAACUCAGAAGAGUUAGACCCAACGAAAGCUAAAUUUAUUGAGCACAUAAAAACUACUCUGGAGAAACUCUAAAGUUUAAAAGGCGAAAGGAGCUUUUUGAUAUGUUGACUAAUAAUAUUUUUUACCCGACUUUACGAAUUCUAGGUCAGCCACAGACUUUUGAAAUAUUAGAGAAAAGCGAGAACUUACAGCAAACUAAAAACGAAACGCUUAACGGUAAACUAGGUUUUGGUAGUGAUAGUAGUAGUAGUGGUAGUAAUAUUAUUACUUCUCAUAAUAGCGUUCCUAUUAACUAUAUAGCUGAGAGCGACCACACUAUUAGUAAUAAUAAAUUAAGUAGAGGUAAAAAUAUAUUAGUAAUAAUCAUGGUGGUAAUAUAAUUUAUAAUAGCUUAAAUAGAGUUAGUGGGCAUGGUGAAAUCUACGGAAACUUGGAAAAGCCCGUAAAAGCUUUACAGCACAGCGUUAACGUUGAGAUGGGUAGCGCCUCUGGCACUGCUCCUAAAAAAAAAUGAACAAUCUAUUGAAACGAUCUCCCAAAGGAAAGAUAUCACUGUUACUCUAUGCGAUGAACAAAAGUGACCCUUAGUAGUUCAACUUUUGCAAACCUCCGGCGUAAAUAUCCCCCAAUCAAGAGAUAUCUUUUUGGAAUCAAGCCAUUUCUCAUGACAGCUAACGACUACCGCUCUGUAACAGAGAUCAUGCGAGCUCAGGAAUUUCAAUUCAUUACAUAUCAACUACCUGAAGAAAGGCCUUUGAAAUUUGUCCUCCGUGGGGUUUACUGUGAACCCUAUCUUUCGACCGUUGAGGAGGAUUUGCGCGCUCAGGGCGUCACACCCCUUCGAGUUGCGCGAAUUCACACGGAGGACAUUUUAAAUGGCGAACGUAAGAAGCCUUCGUUACCAUCAGUUUUAGUACAUAUACCCAGGAUUGAGAGUCCAAAAGUUUUUAGAACUGAAGACUCUCUCUUAUCUUCAAAAUCGAGUGAUGAAACUUCGAAAAAGUAUUUGCGUUGACCAGUGUCAUCGUUGUCAGAUCUUUGGGCACACUGCAAGCUUUUGCACUUCGGAUCCCCGAUGCGUUAAAUGUGGCAAGGGCCACUUGACACCCUUAUGCACGAAAGCACGAGAUAUUCCUGCUGCUUGUGCAAAUUGCGGUGAAGCGCACACCGCUAAUUAUCAAGGCUGCAAUACCAUCCGCGGUGUCCAGUCAGGUUACCCGCAAAGUCCACUCCCUCGGUGCUCAUUCCGUUACUCCGGAGGUGCGCCCCGUGUGAGGACAAAAACUCAUCAAAACUCGCCCACUAUUCCGUCAGUUUCUAAAGCUCCGGGCUACGCUUCUACUGCGAAAACUGAUCAGCAACAGCAACGACCCCAGCCGACUUUACGGCAGCUGUUAGUAAUUUAACGACGAAUUUAUGCAGCAUUCUUGAAACUGUAAAAGGAUUAGAAUCUAUUUGCAAUGGUUUCUAAACCAAAGACGCGUCGCUACACCACCCGCCCUUUUACCAACCAAAUGGGACAGAUAUACUGAGUUUUUAGAGACCAUCUCUCCUGCCGUGUCCUUCCCUACCGUUUACCCCCCCCCCCUGCUGUAUGGUACUGUCGCUUUACCCGAAAGCGUACUAAGCAUGGCCCGCAUUACUGCCGCGACAAGUCAUGGAGUAACUUACCGUCCCAAUCACCUGCCUGAAGAACUAAAGGCAAUUACUUGCCUACGUUGCCGUCUUAUUCGAGUGGUCAUUUUGUCGCAGAGUGCCUAAGACAAACUUGCGCUUAAUCGACUGUACAGGUGCAUAAGAAAGAAGCUGACCCAUUUUAAUAAUAAAUGGGAGGAGGUCAAGCUGCACCAUAUGUUCGAAUCAGGCAGCAGCAACCGAUCAAGAAUUGGGGACUUGCAUCACUACCACCUCUUCGUGGAGGUAACAUAGUGGUCGAGAGGGAGUGAUGAAGACAAAGGCACGCUUUUUUCUAAUCUCCUUGCUAUCCAAAAGCUGACCGCUUACUGCUAAGGAUGCGCGCCCUCAGCUGAGCUUACCCCCUCCCCGUUGCCCACGAACCCCUAGAGCUGGUUAAUGUUAGCGAGGUUCAUGCAAUUGUCGAAGAACUACCCAAACGAAAAGCGCCUGGUCCCGACGGCAUCACUAAGGAGAUGCUGAAGAAAUUGACAUUAACAGGGAUGCAUUAUCUGUGCUUCCUAGUUAAAUCUGCGAUGGUUCUUGGCGCCUUUCCAGCCCGAGGGAAGACGGUGGCCGUUGCGACGCAGCCAUAGACACUUGAACUGGAAAAUCAGCAACUAGUAAGUACCGACCCGUCAGCCUCCUGUCAGCGUUCGGCAAGUUGGGUGAGACCAUUUUACUGUGCCGUUUAAAAGAGGCCGUCGUUGACGCUCUGAACACCUUGCCAGAGUUUCAGUUUGAGUUUCGGCAAGGCACUCAACAAUCCAGCAGCCCCUCCGUUUAACUGAAUGGAACAUUCUCGCUUUUAACUUUAAGAAGGUAACAGUAGCUCUCUUGCUUGAGGUUGAAAAAGCAUUUGAACAAGUUUAGCAUGAAGGUCUGCUGCGCUAACUGCGCUUGUUAUCCGUUCCUCAUGGACUUUGCAACGUGCUGAAGUUAUAAAUAAAUGGCCGCGCCUUCAGCGUGCCCGUGUGAGGUACACAGUCGCCUCUGCGCUCCCCGACAGCAGGGGCCCUCGGGGGUCUCUUUCGCCCCUUUAAUUUUGCAAUUUAUAUGAGCGAAGCGCGCUUGCAAGAAAUUCGUGUACACGUAUCGCCCUCUACACCAAUGAUACGGUCAUUUACUAUUCGUCGAAGUCUCCCACCUUUCUACGCAAGCAUCUACAGCGCUGUCCUAACGCCCUUGCUGACUGGUGCCGUAAUUGGAAAGUUUCUAUAAAUACGGUGAAGAGCAAAGCGCGUUUAGUACUAAGAUACCCGUUCCCUUGUUGGUCCCCUUAACCUCUGAUGGGGUGAAGAGUCCGUGGUGUUUUCAACAGCGAAGUACAUGGGAAUCAUCAUUGACAACAAACUUUCUUGGCAGCCGCGCGUAGACUACCCAGUGGCUAGGGUCAAGGCAACAACUAAAGCUCUUUACCCUUUACUAUGCAGCAAGAGCGAGCUUUUUCUGCGAGACAGAUUGUAUUUAUCUUACAUCCAGCCAUAAAUGACAUACGUAUCUGCUGCCCGGGUCUAUGAUUCCACUGCAAUAGCGUGGGCACUUCAAGUGCCAUAUGACACAAUGUUUCGCGUGAUGACAAACGCCUUGGUUUGUUCGAAAUGAAGCUCUUCACAGGGCCCUUCAAUGGGGCCCUUUAGACUUCGUCUUCCAACGUAAUGCCAAUGCCCUUUAUCGACAGGUUAAUCAGUCACACUAAUCGCCAGAGGGUGAGUGAACUAUUUACCAAUCAUGGGACGGGCACGUUAUCGCCGCCUACGUGACGCGCCUACUUUGUAACAUGUCUGCGAUAACUCCUGAUUGAGAGCUCGAGUAUUCGAAGUUUUUUGACUCAAUUGAGUACCAGGAACUGUAUUUAUAAAUAAAUAAAUGGGUAACAGGUUUUUA